GUAGGUGGCAAGCGUUGUCCGGAAUUAUUGGGCGUAAAGCGCGCGCAGGCGGUUCUUUAAGUCUGAUGUGAAAGCCCACGGCUCAACCGUGGAGGGUCAUUGGAAACUGGAGAACUUGAGUACAGAAGAGGAAAGCGGAAUUCCACGUGUAGCGGUGAAAUGCGUAGAGAUGUGGAGGAACACCAGUGGCGAAGGCGGCUUUCUGGUCUGUAACUGACGCUGAGGCGCGAAAGCGUGGGGAGCAAACAGGAUUAGAUACCCUGGUAGUCCACGCCGUAAACGAUGAGUGCUAAGUGUUAUGGGGUUUCCGCCCCUUAGUGCUGCAGCUAACGCAUUAAGCACUCCCGCCUGGGAGUACGGCCGCAAGGCUG
rnacentral:rRNA from 1 species